CCUACGGGGGGCUGCAGUAAGGAAUAUUGGUCAAUGGAGGAAACUCUGAACCAGCCAUCCCGCGUGAAGGAUGAAGGGGCUCUGCCUUGUAAACUUCUUUUGUCUGGGGCGAAAAAGCUCGAUUUAUCGAGAACUGACGGUACCAGAAGAAUAAGCACCGGCUAACUCCGUGCCAGCAGCCGCGGUAAUACGGAGGGUGCAAGCGUCACUCGGAAUCACUGGGGCGUAAGGGUCCGAGUGCGGCAGUGUAGAACGGCUGUGGCUUAACCAUGGAAUUUCCAUUGAUCCUGCAGAGCUUGAAUGAGGUUGAGGUUGGCGGAAUGUGACAUGUAGCGGUGAAAUGCUUAGAUAUGUCAUGGAACACCGAUUGCGAAGGCAGCUGACUGGACCUAUAUUGACGCUGAGGCACGAAAGCGUGGGGAGCGAACAGGAUUAGAUACCCGAGUAGUC
rnacentral:rRNA from 1 species